rnacentral:lncRNA from 1 species
UGUAUCACAGACAUAAUGUACACAAUGUGAUAGUAGAAUAAUUCUUUUAUUCAUUUAUAGUCAAAAUUAUAAAUUUGCCCUUACAUUUGUACAGGAAUGUAUCAGCCAAUCUGGCAUCUAGGGCACACAUCUAACAAACUCCCACUUGACCUAAUGCCAAUUAGCUACAUAUCUAAGUCCCAUCUUCUCAAGGUGGGCUUCGAUCUUCUGCUG